UACUUGAUAACUUAACGGAAUAAUAACGUUAUAAUAAGGUUAAUUUUGCGUUAAAUCUUUAUGUUAAAUUUAGUGUUACUUCGAAAGUAGCGGUAUAAAUCAUCCUUUCAUUUUGUUACCUUUAUGCAACGUUGCCGUUGUGGUAACGCGACGGUUGUGGGUUCGAUCCCCACUCGGGGAA
rnacentral:tRNA from 1 species